AUGCAUGGCCAAUUUGAGAAACUCUAUGAAUACCGGGCUACAUGGGUGCCGUGUUACUUCAAAUUCAGGUUCUUCCCUUUCCUUCAGUUGACACAAUGCAGUGAAGGGUUCAACGCUGUCUUGAAGUGCUAUGUGAACCCACACAAGUCAAUUCUCAACUUCAUCAAGCAAUACGAGAAGAUUCAGGUACACAUACUCGUGAGGGAGGGCGGGAACGACUACAGGACAGAGCAUUUAGAUGCACAAAGAUGGUCGUAUUUCCCCAUUGAGAGGCAUGCCUACAAGGCAUACACUAGGGACAUCUAUGUAAAAUUUAGAACUGAGUUUCAGAUGAUUGGCCAGUACGAUGUGCACCCCAUUGGAAUCAACUUGAUACAUAAUAAGUUCCAGGGU
rnacentral:rRNA from 1 species